CGUUGGCAUGGGGACGAUGCAGCUUCCCCAACCUGGAUGACGUCACUCCUCGGGAUUCCCGGAAGCGCCAGGAGUUGGAUUUCAUGCUGCUUCGGAACCUGUGAACAACAAACGAGAGGCGAAAACGUUUGACGUUGCAAAGACCGCGCAUCAGGGGGAACACCCGUGCAGGGAGCACCUUACCUGCCCGCAAAGGUGCGGCCGCCGGAGCUGAAAAGUGAAAUGGGUUGUUGAGGCUUUCCAUAGGCUGUCCUUGGACGCAGCAUAAAUUUCAGCAGUAUAGCAGGACAUGUCUGACUUUGCUGGAAGAGAUGGGUGAAAAGAUAGUUGAUGACAGCGUAGGAGUCCAUUUUCCUGAGGAGUUGUACAAACUUGCAAGGAAGUCACAGCCCCAAAGGCUCACCUGGUUCAUAUCCCAGGU